rnacentral:rRNA from 1 species
AUUGAACGCUGGCGGCAGGCCUAACACAUGCAAGUCGAACGGUAACAGGAAGAAGCUUGCUUCUUUGCUGACGAGUGGCGGACGGGUGAGUAAUGUCUGGGAAACUGCCUGAUGGAGGGGGAUAACUACUGGAAACGGUAGCUAAUACCGCAUAACGUCGCAAGACCAAAGAGGGGGAACUUCGGGCCUCUUGCCAUCGGAUGUGCCCAGAUGGGAUUAGCUAGUAGGUGGGGUAACGGCUCACCUAGUCGACGAUCCCUAGCUGGUCUGAGAGGAUGACCAGCCACACUGGAACUGAGACACGGUCCAGACUCCUACGGGAGGCAGCAGUGGGGAAUAUUGCACAAUGGGCGCAAGCCUGAUGCAGCCAUGCCGCGUGUAUGAAGAAGGCCUUCGGGUUUUAAAGUACUUUCAGCGGGGAGGAAGGGAGUAAAGUUAAUACCUUUGCUCAUUGACGUUACCCGCAGAAGAAGCACCGGCUAACUCCGUG